rnacentral:rRNA from 1 species
UACGGGGGGGGCAAGCGUUGUUCGGAAUUACUGGGCGUAAAGGGCUCGUAGGCGGCCAACUAAGUCAGACGUGAAAUCCCCAGGCUUAACCUGGGAACUGCGUCUGAUACUGGAUGGCUUGAAUUCGGGAGAGGGAUGCAGAAUUCCAGGUGUAGCGGUGAAAUGCGUAGAUAUCUGAAGGAAUACCGGUGGCGAAGGCGGCAUCCUGGACCGGUAUUGACGCUGAUGCGCGAAAGCCAGGGGAGCAAACGGG